GCUGGGCAUGGUGGUGCAUGCCUAUAAUCUCAGCUGCUUGGGAGGCUGAGGCAGGAGGAUCACAAGCUCAAAGCCAGCUUCAGCAACAUAGUGAGACCCUAAGCAACUUAGUGAGAUCCUGUCUCUA
rnacentral:sRNA from 1 species